rnacentral:rRNA from 1 species
GAAUUGACGGGGACCCGCACAAGCGGUGGAGCAUGUGGUUUAAUUCGAAGCAACGCGAAGAACCUUACCAAGUCUUGACAUCGGAAUGAUCGUUCCAUAACAGGAGCUUCCCUACGGGGCAUUCCAGACAGGUGGUGCAUGGUUGUCGUCAGCUCGUGUCGUGAGAUGUUGGGUUAAGUCCCGCAACGAGCGCAACCCUUAUCCUUAGUAGCCAGCAGUUCGGCUGGGCACUCUGGGGAGACUGCCAGGGAUAACCUGGAGGAAGGUGGGGAUGACGUCAAAUCAUCAUGCCCCUUAUGAUUUGGGCUACACACGUGCUACAAUGGCGUAAACAAAGGGAAGCGAGGGAGUGAUCCGGAGCAAAUCUCAAAAAUAACGUCUCAGUUCGGAUUGUAGUCUGCAACUCGACUACAUGAAGCUGGAAUCGCUAGUAAUCGCGGAUCAGAAUGCCGCGGUGAAUACGUUCCCGGGUCUUGUACACACCGCCCGUCACACCAUGGGAGUUGGUAACGCCCGAAGUCAGUGACCCAACCGUAAGGAGGGAGCUGCCGAAGGCGGGACUGAUAACUGGGGUGAAGUCGUAACAAGGUAGCCGUAUCGGAAGGUGCGGCUGGAUCACCUCCUUUCUG